GCAUAUCAAUAAGCGGAGGAAAAGAAACUAACAAGGAUUCCCCUAGUAGCGGCGAGCGAACCGGGAUGAGCUCAAAUUUGUAAUCUGGCGUCCUCCGGGCGUCCGAGUUGUAAUCUAUAGAAGCGUCUUCCGUGCCGGACCGCGUCCAAGUCCCUUGGAACAGGGCGUCAAAGAGGGUGACAAUCCCGUGCUUGAUGCGACGACCGGUGCACUGUGAUACGCUCUCUACGAGUCGAGUUGUUUGGGAAUGCAGCUCAAAGUGGGUGGUAAAUUCCAUCUAAAGCUAAAUAUUGGCGAGAGACCGAUAGCGAACAAGUACCGUGAGGGAAAGAUGAAAAGCACUUUGGAAAGAGAGUUAAACAGUAUGUGAAAUUGUUGAAAGGGAAC
rnacentral:rRNA from 1 species